AAACCAACAGGGAUUGCCUUAGUAGCGGCGAGUGAAGCGGCAAAAGCUCAAAUUUGAAAUCUGGCUCUUUCAGAGUCCGAGUUGUAAUUUGAAGAAGGUAUCUUUGGGUCUGGCUCUUGUCUAUGUUUCUUGGAACAGAACGUCACAGAGGGUGAGAAUCCCGUGCGAUGAGAUGAUCCAGGCCUAUGUAAAGUUCCUUCGAAGAGUCGAGUUGUUUGGGAAUGCAGCUCUAAGUGGGUGGUAAAUUCCAUCUAAAGCUAAAUAUUGGCGAGAGACCGAUAGCGAACAAGUACAGUGAUGGAAAGAUGAAAAGAACUUUGAAAAGAGAGUGAAAAAGUACGUGAAAUUGUUGAAAGGGAAGGGCUUGAGAUCAGACUUGGUAUUUUGUAUGUUACUUCUUCGGGGGUGGCCUCUACAGUUUAUCGGGCCAGCAUCAGUUUGGGCGGUAGGAGAAUUGCGUUGGAAUGUGGCACGGCUUCGGUUGUGUGUUAUAGCCUUCGUCGAUACUGCCAGCCUAGACUGAGGACUGCGGUUUAUACAUAGGAUGUUGGCAU
rnacentral:rRNA from 1 species